UACGGAGGAUGCAAGCGUUAUCCGGAAUUAUUGGGCGUAAAGCGUCCGCAGGUGGUUAUCCAAGUCUGCUGUUAAAGCGCGAGGCUUAACUUCGUACAGGCAGUGGAAACUGGGUGACUGGAGUAUGGUAGGGGUAGCGGGAAUUCCCAGUGUAGCGGUGAAAUGCGUAGAUAUUGGGAAGAACACCGGUGGCGAAAGCGCUCUGCUGGACCUUAACUGACACUGAGGGACGAAAGCUAGGGGAGCGAAUGGG
rnacentral:rRNA from 1 species